rnacentral:misc_RNA from 1 species
AGAUCGGUUGAGGCACGUGCUUUUGGUGGCGAGCCUCGCGUGUGGAGGCGCAGGCGCGGCGCUGCUAGUGGCUUCUGCUUUCAUAUAUUUUGUCAAGUAUAAAAAGACAAACGACGUCGUCCUCAAAUAACGGUAAAUCGAUCACCAUUCGCUAGUAUGUAAAACUAAAGUAGCUGUGCUUCUUUAAUCUUUGUAUUGUUUGUUUGUUUGUUUUUUGUUAGAUUUGUUUUUUUCACUGUUUUUUAUUUUUAUUUUUUUCCAUUUUAACUUAAUCCAAUGCAAUAUUUUUUAUGUAGUUUUUUUAUAUAUAAAUAUGUAAAUUUUAUUUAUUUAUUUUGAUAUUAUGAACCCUUAUUAGCA